UACACGCUGUGACUAGCAUAUCAAUAAGCGGAGGAAAAGAAACUAACAAGGAUUCCCCUAGUAACGGCGAGUGAAGCGGGAAGAGCUCAAAUUUGAAAUCUUAAAGGGUUUCCCUUUACGAAUUGUAGUUUAAAGAAGUGUUUUCUGUUGAGGUUUUGGUAAAAGUUCUUUGGAAUAGGACAUCAUAGAGGGUGAGAAUCCCGUAUUUGACCUUUACUUUCAACUUUGUGAUACACUUUCAAAGAGUCGGAUUGUUUGGGAAUGCAGUCCAAAAUGGGUGGUAAAUUUCAUCUAAAGCUAAAUAUUGGCGAGAGACCGAUAGCGAACAAGUACCGUGAGGGAAAGAUGAAAAGAACUUCGAAAAGAGAGUUAAACAGUACGUGAAAUUGUCAAAAGGGAAGCGUUUGACACCAGUGUUGUUUUUCUGAAAAUCAAUUAAAGAACUGUUUAUGCUAAGUUGUUUAGACUUUAUCAGCUAACUGUUUAGUUUUGAGCUUUUCUUUAAUGCACUUUUCAGUUAACAAGUCAACAUCAAUUUCUUUUGCUGUAAAAAAGCUUGAGGAAGGUGGCUUGAGAUUCGUCUUAAGUGUUUAUAGCCUCUUGCCUAUGCAGUCGGAGAGAUUGAGGUCUGCAGCGUAGAUCCUUCGGGGCUAAAUGCAUUUGUGCUAAGUUAUAACAUUUUAUAGACAACUUGUUGACUAUGAUUUGUCUUGUAGCUUACUCGCUUAUGUUAUUUUACCUACGCUUAGGAUGUUGACGCGCGUGUGUGCGUG
rnacentral:rRNA from 1 species